CCUACGGGUGGCAGCAGUGGGGAAUAUUGCGCAAUGGGCGAAAGCCUGACGCAGCGACGCCGCGUGAGGGAUGAAGGUCUUCGGAUCGUAAACCUCUGUCAGCAGGGAAGAACGGUCACUGUGCUAAUCAGAGGUGAAUUGACGGUACCUGCAAAGGAAGCACCGGCGAACUCCGGGCCAGCAGCCGUGGUAAUACGUAGGGUGCGAGCGUUAAUCGGAAUUACUGGGCGUAAAGCGCUCGUAGGCGGUAUGUCAAGUCAAGGGUGAAAUCUCCGCGCUCAACGUGGGAACUGCCUUUGAAACUGGUGAACUGGAGUGUGUGAGAGGUUAGUGGAAUGCCAGGUGUAGGAGUGAAAUCCGUAGAUAUCUGGAGGAACAUCAGUGGCGAAGGCGACUAUCUGGCACAUAACUGACGCUGAGGAGCGAAAGCGUGGGUAGCAAACAGGAUUAGAUACCCUAGUAGUC
rnacentral:rRNA from 1 species